UGCCAUGAUUUUACUAAAAGC
rnacentral:piRNA from 1 species